rnacentral:rRNA from 1 species
AUUGAACGCUAGCGGGAUGCUUUACACAUGCAAGUCGAACGAGUGGCGGACGGGUGAGUAAUAUAUCGGAACGUGCCCAGUAGCGGGGGAUAACUACUCGAAAGAGUGGCUAAUACCGCAUACAAUGGGAGCGGCGAAUAUCGGAUUAGCAGGUUGGUGGGGUAAAGGCUCACAAAGGCAACGAUCCGAAGCGGGUUUGAGGGGACGACCAGCCACACUGGGACUGAGACACGGCCCAGACUCCUACGUGAGGCAGCAGUGGGGAAUUUUGGACAAUGGGGGAAACCCUGAUCCAGCCAUCCCGCGUGUAUGAGAAGGCCUUCGGGUUGUAAAGUACUUUUGGCAGAGAAGCGGUAUCUGCAGAAUAAGCACCGGCUAACUACGUGCCAGCCGCCGCGGUAAUAC